GUCCUGACUCUGGCAGCAUGUAUAGCAAAACUGGAAUGAUGCAGAGAAGAUUAGCAUGGCCCCUGCACAUGGAUGACAUGCAAAUCUGUGAAGCAUUCCAUUAAAAA
rnacentral:snRNA from 1 species